CCACCACAGCCCACCAAACUUCUCCAUCCAUGAGCCCCGUGGACCUGUGGCCAAGAAGAUGGGGGCAAGCUCCCAAUUUGGCUGGGCUGGGUGUGGGUGUGAAUCUUUUCCUGUCUGGUGUGUGCUGGGCUGACAAAGACUCUUUGCUCCCUCGGGGUGGGGUGUGGUUUUUGGCCGAAGGUGACACGGUUUGGGAGCCCUGCGGAUGCGAUGGGGUGUCUGCAAUGGGGAGUGGGAAGGAGAAGAGCAAUAUGAAGAUGGCGUCUAAGACGAGGCCAGGUGACUUCUGUGGAGGGAGACAUGCUGGACAAUGCCAAGGAUUGGGGAGACAACCAGGUGUGAGCCCAGGGCGCAGAGAGCUGGGGAGGGUGUCUGUGUCUGUAACACUUCCCUGUCCUCUCUCACAGAUGGAGUCCAAGAGGGAUAGGAAGGAGAGGACGAGAGCCCCAGUACUCAAGAAUAAUAAGAUGAAUCUCCCAGGAGCCCCAGGCAGAGGAGAAGCUGGAAGAAGUGGAGCUGAGCAGCCUGGACAUCCCGGUAAGCAGAGACGAACAGUCCUGAACCUUCUGCCUUUCCCAGCACUGGGUGUGAGUCGGCGGUGACGGCACUCUCUUCCUCAGCUCUUCCCAGGGGAAAGUAGUCGUGAGGACGGAGUCCAGCCCCGAGGUGAGAUGGAAAGUGAGCGAGAGCAGUGACAGCGUGAAUCCUGUUGAUGCCAGGCAAGGUCUGUCCAGCUGGGAGCGAAGCAGCUGUCGCUGUCAGUGAGGAAAAGAAGGAGGAGGCUGCAGGAUGGUGAAGGAGAGAAAAUCAACACUGCAGCAGGAGAAGGUAAAGACCAGGAGAAUCCAGAAGCCAAGUCCCCAGAGAGGCACAGGGGACCUC